AGGUAAGCUACUAAGAGCGAAUGGUGGAUGCCUUGACUGGUAAAGGCGAUGAAGGACGUACUAGACUGCGAUAAGCUACGGGGAGCUGUCAAGAAGCUUUGAUCCGUAGAUUUCCGAAUGGGGCAACCCAAUGUAUAGAGAUAUACAUUACCUAUAUAGGAGCGAACGAGGGGAAUUGAAACAUCUUAGUACCCUCAGGAAAAGAAAUCAAUAGAGAUUGCGUCAGUAGCGGCGAGCGAAAGCGCAAGAGGGCAAACCCAGUGCUUGCACUGGGGGUUGUAGGACUGCAAUGUGCAAGAGGUGAGUUUAGCAGAACAUUCUGGAAAGUAUAGCCAUAGAGGGUGAUAGUCCCGUAUGCGAAAAACAAACCUUAGCUAGCAGUAUCCUGAGUAGGGCGGGACACGAGGAAUCCUGUCUGAAGCUGGGUCGACCACGAUCCAACCCUAAAUACUAAUACCAGAUCGAUAGUGCACAAGUACCGUGAGGGAAAGGUGAAAAGAACUGAGGUGAUCAGAGUGAAAUAGAACCUGAAACCAUUUGCUUACAAUCAUUCAGAGCCCUAUGUAGCAAUACAGGGUGAUGGACUGCCUUUUGCAUAAUGAGCCUGCGAGUUGUGGUGUCUGGCAAGGUUAAGCAAACGCGAAGCCGUAGCGAAAGCGAGUCUGAAUAGGGCGCUUAGUCAGAUGCUGCAGACCCGAAACGAAGUGAUCUAUCCAUGAGCAAGUUGAAGCUAGUGUAAGAACUAGUGGAGGACUGAACCCAUAGGCGUUGAAAAGCCCCGGGAUGACUUGUGGAUAGGGGUGAAAGGCCAAUCAAACUUCGUGAUAGCUGGUUCUCUCCGAAAUAUAUUUAGGUAUAGCGUUGUGUCGUAAUAUAAGGGGGUAGAGCACUGAAUGGGCUAGGGCAUACACCAAUGUACCAAACCCUAUCAAACUCCGAAUACCUUAUAUGUAAUCACAGCAGUCAGGCGGCGAGUGAUAAAAUCCGUCGUCAAGAGGGAAACAACCCAGACUACCAGCUAAGGUCCCUAAAUCUUACUUAAGUGGAAAACGAUGUGAAGUUACUUAAACAACCAGGAGGUUGGCUUAGAAGCAGCCAUCCUUUAAAGAAAGCGUAAUAGCUCACUGGUCUAGUGAUUUUGCGCGGAAAAUAUAACGGGGCUAAAGUAAGUACCGAAGCUGUAGACUUGCGCACAACUUAGAUUAUUUAAGUUUAGAAUAUGAGAAACUAAGUUAUAUGUUUAGUUAUAUUUUUACUGAUUUUUAUAGAGUAAAGAUAGAAAUAAAACUUAGUAAAAUCAGUAAAAAUAUUCUUAGACUAAAGUUAAGU
rnacentral:rRNA from 1 species